rnacentral:rRNA from 1 species
AGUCACUGCUAUCCGGUUCCGACUAAGCCAUGCAAGUUUUGAUGUUCAACUCUGAACACCAGGGCGAAAAGCUCAGUAACACGUAGUUAAUCUGCCCUUAUGUCUGGGAUAAUCUCGGGAAACUGAGGCCAAUACCAGAUAGAUAAGAGAUACUGGAAUGUGCUCUUAUCAAAAGCUAUAUGCGCGUAAGGAUGAGACUGCGCCGGAUUAGGUUGUUGCUGGGAUAAUACCCCGGCGAGCCGAUAAUCCGUACGAGCCUUGAGAGAGGGAGCUCGGAGAUGGAUUCUGAGACAAGAAUCCAGGCCCUACGGGGCGCAGCAGGCGCGAAAAUUUCCCAAUGCACGAAAGUGUGAGGAAGGGAUCCGGAGUGUCUUCCAUUAUAUGGGGGACUUUUGUGGAGUGUAAAAAGCUUCAAGAAUAAGUGGUGGGUAAGACGGGUGCCAGCCGCCGCGGUAAUACCCGCGCCACGAGUGGUGACCAUUUUUAUUGGGCUUAAAGCGUUCGUAGCCGGUCCAGAAAGUCUCUAGUGAAAUCCCGCAGCCAACUGCGGGGCUUGCUAGGGAAACUUCUAGACUUGAGACCGGGAGAGGUCGAGGGUAUUCCAGGGGUAGGGGUAAAAUCCUGUAAUCCUUGGGAGACCAUCUGUGGCGAAGGCGCUCGACCAGAACGGAUCCGACGGUGAGGGACGAAAGCUAGGGGAGCAAAGGGGAUUAGAUACCCCCGUAGUCCUAGCUGUAAACGAUGCCCACUAGACAUUGGCAAUCUCAUGGGGGUUGCCAGUGCCGUAGCGAAAGCGUUAAGUGGGCCGCCUGGGGAGUACGGUCGCAAGGCUGAAAUGGAAGGAGUCUGAAUAAUUUCAUGAUUUCAACCCUUGCUUGCGACGGUUA